CUCAUGUAAGAAGAACAUCUGUCUUGGGCUAGGAGGAGCACAGGAAGAUGCCUUUAUCUCAAGAGCUAGGAAAUAAGGCAACUGUAUUAAAUUGUCAAGGGAGGACAGCAGACCAACAAGGAUGAAGAAGCUUGAAAAGUUCUUCAUUGCAGCAGGCUGGAAAUAAAUAACCUCCGCUUAGGACACCCCUGGCAGGGGCUUUCCAAACCACUUCCAACCCUGGAGAGAAAGAUAA
rnacentral:lncRNA from 1 species